UACGUAGGGUGCAAGCGUUGUCCGGAAUUAUUGGGCGUAAAGAGCUCGUAGGCGGUCUGUUGCGUCGGCUGUGAAAACCCGGGGCUCAACCCCGAGCCUGCUUCCGAUACGGGCAGACUAGAGGUAUGCAGGGGAGAAUGGAAUUCCUGGUGUAGCGGUGAAAUGCGCAGAUAUCAGGAGGAACACCGGUGGCGAAGGCGGUUCUCUGGGCAUUACCUGACGCUGAGGAGCGAAAGUGUGGGGAGCGAACAGG
rnacentral:rRNA from 1 species